rnacentral:rRNA from 1 species
AACGGCGAGUGAAGCGGCAAGAGCUCAAAUUUGAAAUCUGGCCUCCCCCGGGGGCCCGAGUUGUAAUUUGCAGAGGAUGUUUCGGGUGCGGCCGCCGUCUAAGUUCCUUGGAACAGGACGUCAGAGAGGGUGAGAAUCCCGUCUUGGGCGGGCGGUCCGCGCCCGUGUGAAGCUCCUUCGACGAGUCGAGUUGUUUGGGAAUGCAGCUCUAAGCGGGUGGUAAAUUUCAUCUAAAGCUAAAUAUUGGCCGGAGACCGAUAGCGCACAAGUAGAGUGAUCGAAAGGUUAAAAGCACCUUGAAAAGGGAGUUAAACAGCACGUGAAAUUGUUGAAAGGGAAGCGCUUGCGGCCAGACUCGGGGGCGGGGUUCAGCGGGUGCUCGUCGCCCGUGUAUUCCUCGUUUCCCGGGCCAGCAUCAGUUUCGACGGCCGGUCAAAGGCCCCCGGAAUGUGUCGUCUCUCGGGACGUCUUAUAGCCGGGGGUGCAAUGCGGCCCGUCGGGACUGAGGAACGCGCUCCGGCUCGGAUGCUGGCGUAAUGGCCGUAAGCGGCCCGUCUUGAAACACGGACCAAGGAGUCUAACAUCCACGCGAGUGUUCGGGUGUCAAACCCGUGCGCGCAGUGAAAGCGAACGGAGGUGGGAGCCCUAGGGCGCACCAUCGACCGAUCCUGAAGUCUUCGGAUGGAUUUGAGUAGGAGCGUGGCCGUUGGGACCCGAAAGAUGGUGAACUAUGCCUGAAUAGGGUGAAGCCAGAGGAAACUCUGGUGGGGGCUCGCAGCGGUUCUGACGUGCAAAUCGAUCGUCAAAUUU